UACGGAGGGAGCUAGCGUUAUUCGGAAUUACUGGGCGUAAAGCGCACGUAGGCGGCUUUGUAAGUUAGAGGUGAAAGCCUGGAGCUCAACUCCAGAACUGCCUUUAAGACUGCAUCGCUUGAAUCCAGGAGAGGUGAGUGGAAUUCCGAGUGUAGAGGUGAAAUUCGUAGAUAUUCGGAAGAACACCAGUGGCGAAGGCGGCUCACUGGACUGGUAUUGACGCUGAGGUGCGAAAAGCGUGGGGGAGCAAACAGG
rnacentral:rRNA from 1 species